UACGUAGGGUGCGAGCGUUGUCCGGAAUUAUUGGGCGUAAAGAGCUCGUAGGCGGUUCGUCGCGUCGAACGUGAAAACUCGGGGCUCAACUCCGAGCCUGCGUUCGAUACUGGACGGCUAGAGUCUGGUAGGGGGAGUCUGGAAUUCCUGGGUGUAGCGGUGGAAUGCGCAGAUAUCAGGAGGAACACCGGUGGCGAAGGCGGGUCUCUGGGCCGAUACUGACGCUGAGGAGCGAAAGCGUGGGGAGCGAACAGG
rnacentral:rRNA from 1 species